rnacentral:rRNA from 1 species
GACGAACGCUGGCGGCGUGCUUAACACAUGCAAGUCGAACGAUGAAGGAGAGCUUGCUCUCCGGAUUAGUGGCGAACGGGUGAGUAACACGUGACUAACCUGCCCCUUUCUCUGGGAUAACGCUCCGAAAGGAGUGCUAAUACCGGAUACGAACUCUGAACACAUGUUCGGAGUUGGAAAGUUUUUCGGAAAGGGAUGGAGUCGCGGCCGAUCAGCUUGUUGGUGAGGUAACGGCUCACCAAGGCGACGACGGGUAGCCGGCCUGAGAGGGCGACCGGCCACACUGGGACUGAGACACGGCCCAGACUCCUACGGGAGGCAGCAGUGGGGAAUAUUGCACAAUGGGCGAAAGCCUGAUGCAGCGACGCCGCGUGAGGGAUGAAGGUCUUCGGAUUGUAAACCUCUUUCAGUAGGGACGAGGCGAAAGUGACGGUACCUAAAGAAGAAGCACCGGCUAACUACGUGCCAGCCGCCGCGGUAA